UGGGGAAUUUUGGACAAUGGGGGCAACCCUGAUCCAGCAAUGCCGCGUGUGUGAAGAAGGCCUUCGGGUUGUAAAGCACUUUUGUCCGGAAAGAAAACGCCGUGGUUAAUACCCGUGGCGGAUGACGGUACCGGAAGAAUAAGCACCGGCUAACUACGUGCCAGCAGCCGCGGUAAUACGUAGGGUGCAAGCGUUAAUCGGAAUUACUGGGCGUAAAGCGUGCGCAGGCGGUCCGCUAAGACAGAUGUGAAAUCCCCGGGCUUAACCUGGGAACUGCAUUUGUGACUGGCGGGCUAGAGUAUGGCAGAGGGGGGUAGAAUUCCACGUGUAGCAGUGAAAUGCGUAGAGAUGUGGAGGAAUACCGAUGGCGAAGGCAGCCCCCUGGGCCAAUACUGACGCUCAUGCACGAAAGCGUGGGGGAGCAAACAGGAUUAGAUACCCUGGUAGUCCACGCCCUAACGAUGUCAACUAGUUGUCGGGUCUUCAUUGACUUGGUAACGUAGCUAACGCGUGAAGUUGACCGCCUGGGGGGUACGGUCGCAAGAUUAAAAGC
rnacentral:rRNA from 1 species